GGUCAAGCGAACAAGUGCAUGUGGUGGAUGCCUUGGCGAUCACAGGCGAUGAAGGACGCGGUAGCCUGCGAAAAGCUUCGGGGAGCUGGCAAACAAGCUUUGAUCCGGAGAUGUCCGAAUGGGGAAACCCGGCCCGUAUGGGUCAUCCCACACUGAAUCCAUAGGUGUGGGAAGCGAACGCGGCGAACUGAAACAUCUAAGUAGCUGCAGGAACAGAAAUCAACCGAGAUUCCCAAAGUAGUGGCGAACGAAAUGGGAAGAGCCUUGUACUCUUUAGCAGUGGUGUUAGCAGAACGGGAUGGAAAGCCCGGCCAUAGCAGGUGAUAGCCCUGUAUGCGAAAACACGAUUGUGGAACUAGGUGUACGACAAGUAGGGCGGGACACGUGAAAUCCUGUCUGAAGAUGGGGGGACCAUCCUCCAAGGCUAAAUACUCGUGAUCGACCGAUAGUGAACCAGUACCGUGAGGGAAAGGCGAAAAGAACCCCGGGAGGGGAGUGAAAUAGAUCCUGAAACCGCAUGCAUACAAACAGUCGGAGCCUCUUCGGGGGUGACGGCGUACCUUUUGUAUAAUGGGUCAGCGACUUACAUUCAGUGGCAAGCUUAACCGAUUAGGGAAGGCGUAGCGAAAGCGAGUCCGAACAGGGCGUUGAGUCGCUGGGUGUAGACCCGAAACCAGAUGAUCUAUCCAUGGCCAGGUUGAAGGUGCGGUAACACGUACUGGAGGACCGAACCCACUAACGUUGAAAAGUUAGGGGAUGAGCUGUGGAUAGGGGUGAAAGGCUAAACAAAUCUGGAAAUAGCUGGUUCUCUCCGAAAACUAUUUAGGUAGUGCCUCGUGUCUCACCUUCGGGGGUAGAGCACUGUCAUGGUUGGGGGGUCUAUUGCUGAUUACCCCGCCAUAGCAAACUCCGAAUACCGAAGAGUGCAAUCACGGGAGACAGACAUCGGGUGCUAACGUCCGGUGUCAAGAGGGAAACAACCCAGACCGCCAGCUAAGGUCCCCAAAUAUAGCUAAGUGGGAAACGAAGUGGGAAGGCUAAAACAGUCAGGAGGUUGGCUUAGAAGCAGCCACCCUUUAAAGAAAGCGUAAUAGCUCACUGAUCGAGUCGUCCUGCGCGGAAGAUGUAACGGGGCUAAGCUAUAUACCGAAGCUGCGGACGCACGCAAGUGCGUGGUAGGAGAGCGUUCUGUAAGCCUGUGAAGGUGUCUUGUAAAGGAUGCUGGAGGUAUCAGAAGUGCGAAUGCUGACAUGAGUAGCGAUAAAGGGGGUGAAAGGCCCCCUCGCCGUAAGCCCAAGGUUUCCUACGCAACGUUCAUCGGCGUAGGGUGAGUCGGCCCCUAAGGCGAGGCAGAGAUGCGUAGCUGAUGGGAAGCAGGUUAAUAUUCCUGCACCGUCGUAUGAUGCGAUGGGGGGACGGAUCGCGGAAGGUUGUCCGGGUGUUGGAAGUCCCGGUCCCUGCAUUGGAGAAGGCGCUCAGGCAAAUCCGGGCGCGGGAUUCAAGGAUGUGGGGCGAGCGGCCUAGUGCUGCGAAGCAAUUGGAAGUGGUUCCAAGAAAAGCCUCUAAGCUUCAGUCAUACGAGACCGUACCGCAAACCGACACAGGUGGGCGAGAUGAGUAUUCUAAGGCGCUUGAGAGAACUCGGGAGAAGGAACUCGGCAAAUUGGUACCGUAACUUCGGGAUAAGGUACGCCCUGGUAGCUUGACUGGCCUGCGCCAGAAGGGUGAAGGGGUUGCAAUAAAAUGGUGGCUGCGACUGUUUAAUAAAAACACAGCACUCUGCAAACACGAAAGUGGACGUAUAGGGUGUGACGCCUGCCCGGUGCCGGAAGAUUAAAUGAUGGGGUGCAAGCUCUUGAUUGAAGUCCCGGUAAACGGCGGCCGUAACUAUAACGGUCCUAAGGUAGCGAAAUUCCUUGUCGGGUAAGUUCCGACCUGCACGAAUGGCGUAACGAUGGCCACACUGUCUCCUCCCGAGACUCAGCGAAGUUGAAGUGUUUGUGAUGAUGCAAUCUCCCCGCGGCUAGACGGAAAGACCCCAUGAACCUUUACUGUAGCUUUGCAUUGGACUUUGAACCGAUCUGUGUAGGAUAGGUGGGAGGCUUUGAAGCGUGGACGCUAGUUCACGUGGAGCCGUCCUUGAAAUACCACCCUGGUUUGUUUGAGGUUCUAACCUUGGCCCGUGAAUCCGGGUCGGGGACAGUGCAUGGUAGGCAGUUUGACUGGGGCGGUCUCCUCCCAAAGUGUAACGGAGGAGUUCGAAGGUACGCUUGGUACGGUCGGACAUCGUACCUAAAGUGCAAUGGCAAAAGCGUGCUUAACUGCGAGACCGACAAGUCGAGCAGGUGCGAAAGCAGGACAUAGUGAUCCGGUGGUUCUGAAUGGAAGGGCCAUCGCUCAACGGAUAAAAGGUACUCUGGGGAUAACAGGCUGAUACCGCCCAAGAGUUCAUAUCGACGGCGGUGUUUGGCACCUCGAUGUCGGCUCAUCUCAUCCUGGGGCUGUAGCCGGUCCCAAGGGUAUGGCUGUUCGCCAUUUAAAGAGGUACGUGAGCUGGGUUUAAAACGUCGUGAGACAGUUUGGUCCCUAUCUGCCGUGGGCGUUGGAAUCUUGACGGGGGCUGCUCCUAGUACGAGAGGACCGGAGUGGACGUACCGCUGGUGUACCUGUUGUCUCGCCAGAGGCAUCGCAGGGUAGCUAUGUACGGAAGAGAUAACCGCUGAAAGCAUCUAAGCGGGAAACUCGCCUGAAGAUGAGGAUUCCCUGGAGGCUUGACCUCCUUGAAGGGUCGUUCGAGACCAGGACGUUGAUAGGCUGGGUGUGGAAGCGCAGUAAUGCGUUAAGCUAACCAGUACUAAUUGCCCGUAAGGCUUGAUCCU
rnacentral:rRNA from 1 species